rnacentral:ribozyme from 1 species
UUUUUUUUUUUUUUUUUUUUUUUUUUUUUUUUUUUCCCA